rnacentral:rRNA from 1 species
UACAGAGGUCCCGAGCGUUGUUCGGAUUCAUUGGGCGUAAAGGGUGCGUAGGUGGCGCCGUAAGUGGGGUGUGAAAUCCCGGGGCUUAACCCCGGGACUGCAUUCCAUACUGCGGUGCUUGAGGACUGGAGAGGAGACUGGAAUUUACGGUGUAGCAGUGAAAUGCGUAGAGAUCGUAAGGAAGACCAGUGGCGAAGGCGGGUCUCUGGACAGUUCCUGACACUGAGGCACGAAAGCGUGGGGAGCAAACAGG